rnacentral:rRNA from 1 species
GACGAACGCUGGCGGCGUGCCUAAUACAUGCAAGUCGAACGCAGGGGGGACGGGUGAGGAACACGUGGGUAACCUGCCAUCAGAGGGGAUAACGCUUGGAAACAGGUGCUAAACCGAUACUGAUGGAUGGACCCGGGGGGCAUUAGCUAGUUGGGGGGGUAACGGCUCACCGAGGCCACGAUGCAUAGCCGGCCUGAGAGGGUGACCGGCCACACUGGAACUGAGACACGGCCCAGACUCCUACGGGAGGCAGCAGUAGGGAAUCUUGCGCAAUGGGCGAAAGCCUGACCGAGCCACGCCGCGGGAGUGAAGAAGGCCUUCGGAUCGUAAAGCACUGUUGUUAGAGAAGCGGUAUCUAAACAGAAAGCCCCGGCUAACUACGUGCCAGCAGCCGCGGUAAUAC